GUCCCGAGCGCUGCAGCCAGCCAGCCCGGGACGGUCCCGUCAGCCUCCAGCCCAGUCCCCUCGCUCUCCCAGCCAACGAGACUCCUCCCCGCCCCUGUCCCGAGUGCCAUUUCCAGCUCCCGAGGUCGGCUCGCCCCGGGCCGCUCCGGGAAGUGGAUCCUCAGCGGACCACAGGGAAGACAGGGCGACUCCCAGCAAAGGCGGCCCCCCCACUCCUCUCCUCCGGACCCCCGCAGGUACAGCCCACGCCCCUCGGGUCCCCGUCCCCUCCCUCCCAGCACAGCCUACCAUCCUGCAGCCUCCGGCCCGGCACGUCCCUCUCCGGCCACCGUAGGCGCCAGCUCCACUCCCCGUCGGAUUCUUUUCUUUGCCCUCCCUCUCCGCCUGAAGCCCCGCCCCGCCCGGCCUCGCCGGCUCCCUCGAGCGGCCGCACGGCGCAGGCGCCAACGCUGCCCUCGCUGCACCCCCCCCCCCCCCCCCCCCCCCCCCCCCGUCCCAUCCCACCCGGCGCGCGGGCGGGGCUGGAGGCGGAGAAGCGGAAACCAUGGCAACCAGGUCCUUGACUUCGGCUUUGCAGAAGCUCGGUCGUCAUGGUAACAAGGCUGUCUCGCCUUCGAAGGCAGAGACAGGAGCAGCUUGUAGCCCACGCUCAGGCUCAGCUAAGUGGCGUGGUCGAGACCACCCAAGGCUACAAGCCCGUCUCAAGCAAAGUGAAACCAAACAGUGCUGCUGGGAUGGCUCCGAUCAUCCAGGUGGUCCCCCAAACCCAAGAAUCCUUCAGCAGAAUAUGCGGUAUUUGAACAUGAGCACUGUGCUCAAUCUGACAACCAAGAUGACCACUUAGUACUUAAUGUACGAUGUUUCUCUGUGGAGCCCUGGCUGUC